UCCAAGGAGUUCUAACUUUGACAGUUAAACACUCAUGGUGGCUGUUGCUUGGUUUCUGUUGGCAGCUGCUGUUAGGUUUAGAACUGGGAUGCUUCCAGACAGAGCUGGACAGGGCAGAGCCUGUCCCUCUCACACAGAAAAGGUAUCUAUACUCUGUUCAGGGCAGAACCUGCACAGCUGGAAAUACAAACUGUGUGUGAUCACCUCCCUUGGACGACCCUGGCAGAGGGACAGAAAUAAAGCCAGACUAUUCCAAGUCUGCAGCAAGAGGAGGCUGAGCUCUCCUCUCCCAGCCAGCAGCAGACAGAUUUCACUUAGACUUUCCAUGGCAACACCACUUUCCUGUCUUGUUACUGAGAACUGAGCUAAGGAUUGGACACCUGAGAUCUCUGCCAUUCCUACUUAUUCUCAUUCUCCAGGGGCCAGCAAACACCUCUGUGCUCAGAGCUGAGCUACAUUUACAGAGUGACCUUCCCAAGCCUUCUGCAACACCCAGCUUCUGCACUGUUUUCCCAGCCAGCGUGGUGGUGUGCAGCUCCCAGGAGAGCCAUUAGUCUGUCAGCUUUAUCCCAAGGACUCUGAUGAAUUGGAAAAAUAAUUCUAUGCAAGCCUGACAGUACUUACACAACCUUAUAAAAAUUCAAAUUAA